UAUUGGACAAUGGGGGGAACCCUGAUCCAGCGACGCCGCGUGAGUGAAGAAGUAUUUCGGUAUGUAAAGCUCUAUCAGCAGGGAAGAAAGAAAUGACGGUACCUGACUAAAAAGCCCCGGCUAACUACGUGCCAGCAGCCGCGGUAAUACGUAGGGGGCAAGCGUUAUCCGGAUUUACUGGGUGUAAAGGGAGCGUAGACGGCAGAGCAAGUCUGAAGUGAAAGCCCGCGGCCCAACUGCGGGACUGCUUUGGAAACUGCCCGGCUAGAGUGCUGGAGAGGUAAGCGGAAUUCCUAGUGUAGCGGUGAAAUGCGUAGAUAUUAGGAGGAACACCAGUGGCGAAGGCGGCUUACUGGACAGUAACUGACGUUGAGGCUCGAAAGCGUGGGGAGCAAACAGG
rnacentral:rRNA from 1 species